rnacentral:rRNA from 1 species
CCUGAACCAGAGUACCACGAGACACGAGGAACCUUGUGGGAAGCAGGGAGGACCACCUCCCAAGGCUAAAUACUACCUGGUGACCGAUAGAGAAGAAGUACCGUGAGGGAAAGGUGAAAAGAACCCCGGGAGGGGAGUGAAAUAGAAUCUGAAACCGUGUGUCCACAAAUAGUCGAAGCACAAUAAAGUGCGACGGCGUGCUUUUUGUAGAACGAGCCAGCGAGUUGCGGUAUGCAGCAAGGUUAAGUACUUAAGGUACGGAGCCGGAGGGAAACCGAGUCUUAAAAGGGCGGGAAGUUGUAUAGUGCAGACCCGAAACCGGGUGACCUAUCCAUGGCCAGGUUGAAGCGGAAGUAAAAUUUCGUGGAGGACCGAACCACAAUGGUGUUGAAAAACCAUGGGAUGAGCUGUGGAUAGCGGAGAAAUUCCAAUCGAACUCGGAGAUAGCUGGUUCUCCUCGAAAUAGCUUUAGGGCUAGCGUCGGGAAUGAGUAAUGGAGGUAGAGCACUGACUGGGGUAGGGGCUGACAACAGUUACUGAACCCUAUCAAACUCCGAAUGCCAAAUACUUGAAUUCCGGCAGUCAGACUGCGAAUGAUAAGAUCCGUAGUCAAAAGGGAAAAAGCCCAGACCACCGGCUAAGGUCCCAAAGUGUAAGUUAAGUGGAAAAGGAAGUGUGAUCUCUAAGACAACUAGGAUGUUGGCUCAGAAGCAGCCAUACAUUUAAAGAGUGCGUAACAGCUCACUAGUCAAGAGGUCAUGCGCCGAAGAUGUCCGGGGCUAAAACUUACCACCGAAGCUGUGGGCUAGAGAUAGCGGUAGAGGAGCAUGCUGUCCAGGUAGAAGCUGUACCGGAAGGAGCAGUGGACAGGACAGGAGAGAGAAUGCUGGCAUAAGUAGCGAGAAAUAAGUGAGAAUCUUAUUGGUCGAAAACCUAAGGUUUCCUGGGGAAGGUUCGUCCACCCAGGGUAAGUCGGGACCUAAGCCGAGGCCGAAAGGCGUAGGUGAUGGACAAUCGGUUGAGAGUCCGAUACCGCAGAAUACCGGUAAAGACCCGAAGGGAUGACGCAGGAGGAUAGGAUGUGCAUACAGAUGGAGGUAUGUCCAAGCAGCGAGUAAGGGAAGGGAGGCAAAUCCCCCUUUUCAAUUGUGAGCUGUGACGGGGAAGCCGAAAGGCGAAGUAUCCGAGAUCACACUGCCGAGAAAAGUCUCUAGGGAGGUAAACUGUGCCCGUACCG